rnacentral:misc_RNA from 1 species
GAUGAAGAACGCAGCGAAAUGCGAUACGUAAUGUGAAUUGCAGAAUCCAGUGAAUCAUCGAAUCUUUGAACGCACAUUGCGCCCGCCAGCAUUCUGGCGGGCAUGCCUGUUCGAGCGUCAUUUCAACCCUCGACCUCCCCUUGGGGAGGUCGGCGUUGGGGACCGGCAGCACACCGCCGGCCCUGAAAUGGAGUGGCGGCCCGUCUGCGGCGACCUCUGCGUAGUAAUACAGCUCGCACCGGAACCCCGACGCGGCCACGCCGUAAAACACCCAACUUCUGAACGUUGACCUCGAAUCAGGUAGGACUACCCGCUGAACUUAAGCAUAUCAAUAAGCGGAGGA